GACGAACGCUGGCGGCGUGCUUAACACAUGCAAGUCGAACGGAAAGGCCCUGCUUUUGUGGGGUGCUCGAGUGGCGAACGGGUGAGUAACACGUGAGUAACCUGCCCUUUACUUUGGGAUAACUUCAGGAAACUGGGGCUAAUACCGGAUAGGAGCUCCUGCUGCAUGGUGGGGGUUGGAAAGUUUCGGCGGUUGGGGAUGGACUCGCGGCUUAUCAGCUUGUUGGUGGGGUAGUGGCUUACCAAGGCUUUGACGGGUAGCCGGCCUGAGAGGGUGACCGGCCACAUUGGGACUGAGAUACGGCCCAGACGCCUACGGGAGGCAGCAGUGGGGAAUAUUGCACAAUGGGCGGAAGCCUGAUGCAGAAACGCCGCGUGCGGGAUGACGGCCUUCGGGUUGUAAACCGCUUUCGCCUGUGACGAAGCGUGAGUGACGGUAAUGGGUAAAGAAGCACCGGCUAACUACGUG
rnacentral:rRNA from 1 species